AUGCAUGAAGAACAUGCAUUUUGUGCAUAUGUUCUCCACCUUCAUACCCAUCUCCCACAUGUGACAUGCACCCUUGACAAAUUUGUGAGGAACUUUCUCGGCAUAUUUUGAUCAAAUAUUGAACAAGGGAGGCAAAUCCCUCAUAAUUGUCUUUUUUUUUUUUUUUUUUAAACGGAACAAGUAUUAGUAUGAGUAUCGGACAUAUCGGCUCACAGUAACUGUCUUAACUUCGACAUGUCUUUGUCUGGUUCUGGAUUCCGCUGGGAGCAGCUCUGCUGGCACUAAUCCAUACUUGUACUCUACUUGGCUUGCUUUUUAACGACGAUGAUGAAAACACGAACAAAAAGAAGCACAAGAAGAAGCGGGGACUUGAAAAGGACUGGCUUAGAGCAACACUUUGCAAAGACGGAUGCAAAUCCAUUAGUCGUUUCACAGUUAUAAAAAUACUUAAGGGGCCCUUUUAAUCGCGGCGACGUGUUAAAUGCGCGGAAAUCUGUUUUGAUAACAUUAUUCAUAACACCGGCUUUGCUCGUGUGAAUUAAUAACACUUCAUUUGCAGACGCUUCCAGAAAAGCUGGCAUGGUAUUUGCAGCUAAAGAGAUUAAUUUUCAAACACCUAAUUGACAGACUGGGGUUAUACGGGAUAAGCAACACACUCUAUAAGGCGGCAGCUGCAAAGUCAAGGUGACUGGAAUACUGAGGAAAAAGGCUUCCA